AGGAAUAUAAACACCCAUGGACACAUAUUU
rnacentral:piRNA from 1 species